rnacentral:rRNA from 1 species
UCCAGACUCCUACGGGAGGCAGCAGUGGGGAAUAUUGCACAAUGGGGGGAACCCUGAUGCAGCGACGCCGCGUGAGUGAAGAAGUAUUUCGGUAUGUAAAGCUCUAUCAGCAGGGAAGAAAAACCGACCAUAGGGUCGCUAGACGGUACCUGAUUAAGAAGCCCCGGCUCACUACGUGCCAGCAGCCGCGGUAAUACGUAGGGGGCAAGCGUUAUCCGGAUUUACUGGGUGUAAAGGGGGCGCAGACGGCGAUGCAAGCCAGGAGUGAAAGCCCGGGGCCCAACCCCGGGACUGCUCUUGGAACUGCGUGGCUAGAGUGCAGGAGGGGCAGGCGGAAUUCCUGGUGUAGCGGUGAGAUGCGUAGAUAUCAGGAGGAACACCGGUGGCGAAGGCGGCCUGCUGGACUGCAAUUGACGUUGAGGCCCGAAAGCGUGGGGAGCAAACAGGAUUAGAUACCCCAGUACUC